AGGGAUGUGGUUUCCUGAGAGCCGAACUGUAGUGAUUGUUAUCUCUCUUCUGGAUCUAGCCACCUAGCAAGUCUACCAGGGUCUGGGCUAGUACUGGGGGUUGUCUGCACAGAGUCCUGUGAUGUGAACUGUCUGUAGGUCUCUCAGCCAUGGAUUACCAGCACCCGUUCUGGUAGAGGCAGCAGGGUGAAAUGUACUCUGUGAGGAUUCUUAGCUUUGGUGGUUUAAUGCACUAUUUUUGUGCUGGUUGGCCUCCUGUCAGGAGGUUGCACUUUCCAGAGAGCAUCAACUGUGGUAGUAUGGAGAGGAACCAGUGGUGGGUGGGGCCCUAGAACUCCCAAGAGUAUAUGCCCUUUGUCUUCGGUUACCAGGGUGGGUAGGGAAGGUGGCUGGGGGUGUGAGCUUUGUAUUGGUUAGUUUUCACUUGAAGAGUGUGUUUAUGGGUGAGUUGCAUGCCAUCUCUAGGAACUGGCUAGCUUUGGGAGGGGCUGACUCUCUAGGGUCAGCAAUGCCCCAGAUAUCAAAAGCAUCAGAGUAGAAAAUAAAAUAUAUGGUAAUACACACCAUGGGGCAGCACAAAUGUUUCAGGGCCCUGAGGCCCAGUCUAACAAGAAAGUUCAGCAGCCACCAUUCUAGUUUUGCCCAGGUUGGGCCAGGUUCUCCAACAUAGGUGACAUCAUGUGCUUAUUCAAGUGUGCUGAUCUUGCAUGCAGGGAUAUAUGCACAUUAUAUAUAUGUGUAUAAAUGCAAUCAUGUGGGUACACCUGAAUAUACACAUAGGCUUUGGAACAGAAACACCAAGAAGAAACUCUGUUCCUACUGUUCCUCACAAGGGACCUCUGAGAGUGACAGCAAAGCUGGUGAUCCCAUCAGUCAUCAGAGUCUCUCAUUCCUGGGUAAAUAUCUGAUGCUGCUGGGCAGUGAGCAGUUCUGCAGCUGAGGUGGGGGCUCCCCAAGCCAGGUCUCUGAUGUUUCCUAGAAGUUUUCCCACACGCUGUCUGGUUUUUCUGUUGGAGUCAUGCCAAAACCCACAACCUGGAGACUUGAUUGAGAUUUAUCACACUCUGUAUGAGCACUGGGCCAUCUAUGUGGGAGAUGGUUAUGUGGUCCAUCUGAUCAAUUCAGGUGGGUCUUCAAAGGAUGUGGUGAAAUAUGAGCCUCUGGGGGAUGCGGUCCAGAAUAGCACAUACCGGGUCAACAGCUACUUGGACAAGUACAGACCAUGGCCUGUCCAUGAGAUCAUUCGCUUGGCAAGGGAGAGAAUUGACAAAAAGUUUCACUACAACAUUCUUUGUUCAAACUGUGAGCACUUUGCCACUCAGAUAUGACGAGCGCCACAGCAAGCAGAGUAAACGUGCAGUGUCUAUCAUUGUGGCUUGGAUAGGAGUGACUUGUAUGAUUUGAGUAAUUCUUGCCCAAAGUUAUCACUGCUUGAAGAAGCCAUUAAAAAUUCCCUAGUUGGAGGCUGCUUCACAGACCAGCUGUUCCUCUGUGUGCCUAAUUCUCUCUGUCACUGGCUUUUGGAAGGACCAAUUGUAACAAGACUGAACUUCUUGAAGAAUCAAAUGAAGGAACCUAGUGACCCCUUCAUCAGAUAUUUCCACUACUUGAUUAUAGAUUCAUGAAUCAUUGGAAAGGAAGCAACUAUGAUUGAGCACUUGUUGAGUACUUCCGACUGCACAUCUUUGAAAAAGUCUCCUAAAAUCUGAGUUUCCACUGCAUUUAUAUUAUGGGGGUAACAAGGACGGUUUCACCAUGUUUUGCUGAGAUUAAAUGAGAUGGUGUAAAAUGGCUUGGUACAAUCCCUACAAUCCCAUAGCAGAUGCUCAAUAAAAU